UAGGAAUGAUCUUUACAUCCUCCAGGAGGAUAACAGGAAUGUGACGAAUGUAUGCAGAGGAGACUGAUGGAGGACCAACACUUGCUGGUUUUGCUGUCAUUUGUUUUAUUUAAUGGUCAAUGUUAUAUUCCCAGUGCUCCCGGCUUGUCAAAUCUAAAACCAUUAUUUGAAUACAUUCAAGCAGUUUGAGUUUGAUUUUACCAGUUACAAUGACAUUAAAGGCAUUAACUUUAGUCUUGAACCUGAAACGAAUCUGUAUGUUUCCCUGGUUGAACUGGUGCACUCAGACUGGACUGUUCCCAUUUCCCUCACAGAGUGCAGAUUUUUCAGAGAAGUUCGACACGUGCAGAUUGAAUGCUCUUUGAUUUCAGUAUCUCUUGUCCUUAUAAAUAAGUUACCUGCACUCCUGCAAACAACCUCAAAAUAUGGAUUUGUGUUUUUCUAUGUGCUCACAGUUUCCCAGGCUGUGGUGGUGGAGGUGAAUGAGGGGGAAAUGUUUGUCCUAUUACCCUGCCAGUACUCAAGAGUCAUAUUUAAGAACCACACAGUGAUGUGGACUCGCAAUGAUCUCAAUCCCCAAACUGUCCACCGACAACGAGGAGGAGGAGAUGAUCUUAGAGAACAAAACCAGCGUUACAGCGAGCGCACAUCGAUGAGACCUGAUGCUCUGGACUCUGGAGACUUCAGCCUCACUCUGAGAAAACCAGCAGAGUCUCACAGUGGAAGAUACACCUGCUCCAUCACUGAUGGAGAAGAAGAACUGAUAGUGAGACGCAUAUGGCUGCAAGUCAAAGCAGGAUCUGUGUUCAUGGAGUGGUUUAUGAUAACUUCAUUCUGUGUUGUGGUCAUCCUUGUUUGCAUAGUGUAUGUCUACGGUGCUCUCAGGAGUGAAGCAUUACAGCACAGAGCAGAGAAGUAAUGAAAUGUAAGAGGAGAAGCUUGCUCUGCUCCACAGCUGACCUGCCUCAGGAAACUACAGUGGACUGGAGGUGCUCAAACUACAAACAUGGCUGUCCACAUGUGAUGGUUUAACUGGCAUGCUAAAAGCAGCCAGAGUGAAAAUGAUUCAGAUCUGUUAACCUAAAUAUGUAACUGCUGUUUAGAUUGAGGUCAGAGGUCCUUAAUACUGGAUAUUACACUCUGGACAGGACACACACACCAAACUGUCUGUUUUCUGUGUUGUACUGAUGUUAAGCUGUUUUCUAGCAGGGCAGUUUUUCCUUUUUGACUCUGCUGGUGACCAUCACUUCAAAAACUCAAACUCUUACCAAGUAUGUUUGUCUUAUUUCUUGUGACAAAAAAAAGUCAUGACACUUAAAAUAAGACAAAAGCAGCUAAAGAGUAAUAUUUCAGUAAGAUAUGUGAACUUGUUAUUAGCCAGUGAAUCUUGAAACUGGAGAAUUUUCACUUGUUCUAUUGGCAGAUUUUUCACUUAUUUCAAGUAAAAAAUAUCUUGUAUCAAGUUCAAUUCAAUUCAAUUCAAUUUUAUUUAUAUAGCGCCA